rnacentral:rRNA from 1 species
GAUGAACGCUGGCGGCGUGCCUAAUACAUGCAAGUCGAGCGAACGGACGAGAAGCUUGCUUUUCUGAUGUUAGCGGCGGACGGGUGAGUAACACGUGGAUAACCUACCUAUAAGACUGGGAUAACUUCGGGAAACCGGAGCUAAUACCGGAUAAUAUUUUGAACCGCAUGGUUCAAAAGUGAAAGACGGUCUUGCUGUCACUUAUAGAUGGAUCCGCGCUGCAUUAGCUAGUUGGUAAGGUAACGGCUUACCAAGGCAACGAUGCAUAGCCGACCUGAGAGGGUGGUCGGCCACCCUGGAACUGAGAACCGGUCCCGACUCCUACGGGAGGCAGCAGUAGGGAAUCUUCCGCAAUGGGCGAAAGCCUGACGGAGCAACGCCGCGUGAGUGAUGAAGGUCUUCGGAUCGUAAAACUCUGUUAUUAGGGAAGAACAUAUGUGUAAGUAACUGUGCACAUCUUGACGGUACCUAAUCAGAAAGCCACGGCUAACUACGUG